rnacentral:piRNA from 1 species
UGUAGAAACACAUACCAUCGGGCG